UUAAAUUGAAGAGUUUGAUCAUGGCUCAGAUUGAACGCUGGCGGCAGGCCUAACACAUGCAAGUCGGGCGGUAACAGGAAAGCGCCUGCGCUUUUGCU
rnacentral:rRNA from 1 species